rnacentral:rRNA from 1 species
CGCUUCAGGAAUGGCCUAUGUCCUAUCAGCUAGUUGGUGAGGUAACGGCUCACCAAGGCUAUGACGGGUAGGGGGCGUGAGAGCGUGUUCCCCAACACUGGAACUGAGACACGGUCCAGACUCCUACGGGAGGCAGCAGCCGAGAAUAUUUGUCAAUGGGCGAAAGCCUGAACGAGCGACGCCGCGUGUGGGAUGAAGGUCUUCGGAUUGUAAACCACUUUUUACAGGGAGAAAUGCAAAUGAUAGUACCUGUAGAAUAAGGGGUUCCCAACUCUGUGCCAGCAGGAGCGGUAAUACAGAGACCCCGAGCGUUAUCCGGAAUUAUUGGGCGUAAAGCGUCUGUAGGCGGUUUAAAUAGUGAGAUGUCAAAUGUCGAAGCUCAACUUCGUCACUGCAUUUCAAACGUUUAAGCUAGAGCAUGUGAGAGGCUGAUGGAACUUGUGGUGUAGCGGUGAAAUGCGUUGAUAUCACAAGGAACACCAAAGGCGAAGGCAUUCAGCUGGAACAUUGCUGACGCUGAGAGACGAAAGCGUGGGGAUCAAAAAGGAUUAGAUACCCUUGUAGUCCACGCUGUAAACGAUGGAUAUUAGCGAUUGGGAGUAUCGACCCUCUCAGUCGCGAAGCUAACGCGUUAAAUAUCCCGCCUGGGAAGUACGGCCGCAAGGCUAAAACUCAAAGGAAUAGACGGGGACCUGCACAAGCGGUGGAACAUGUGGUUCAAUUCGACAACAAGCGAGGAACCUUACCAAGGUUUGACAUCCCGGGAAUUUCCUGGAAACAGGAAAGUGCCGCAAGGAGCCCGGAGACAGGCGCUGCAUGGUUGUCGUCAGCUCGUGCCGUGAGGUGUUCGGUUAAGUCCGGAAACGAGCGCAACCCCUGUGAUGUGUUAUAUAUGUCGCAUCAGACUGCCCAGGUUAACUGGGAGGAAGGUGGGGAUGACGUCAAAUCAGCAUGGCCCUCUGACACCUUGGGCUACACACAUGUUACAAUGGGAAGCAACAAAGGGUCGCUAAAUCGUAAGAUGGAGCUAAUCCCGUAAAACUUCCCUCAGUUCAGAUUGAGGGCUGCAACUCGCCCUCAUGAAGAUGGAAUCGCUAGUAAUCCUGGAUCAGCCUCGCCAGGGUGAAUACGUUCUCAGGUCUUGUACUCACCGCCCGUCACGUCAAGGGAGUUGGAAAUACCCGAAGUGGCUCGUAAGAGCUCCUAAGGUAGGUCCGAUAACAGGGACG